rnacentral:rRNA from 1 species
CUGUGGUCCCACCUGACCCCAUGCCGAACUCAGAAGUGAAACGCCGUAGCGCCGAUGGUAGUGUGGGGUCUCCCCAUGCGAGAGUAGGGAACUGCCAGGC